rnacentral:lncRNA from 1 species
UGGGCCCACAGGUGCAUGCCACCACGCACAGGCCCUCCCUCCGUUGCCCAGGUGGGAGUGCAGUGGUGUGAUGUCAGUUCACUGCAACCUUGGCCUCCCGGAUUCAAGCGAUUCUCCUGCCUUAACCUUCCGAACAUGGAUCCCUGAGGUCGGUCCCCAAUACGACAAGACAAUUUGAUAUCAUAAUAGAACACUGCAGAAACAAUGCUGAGUGAAGAAGAGUAGAAAUGGGAAGACUUGGUUGAGCGGAAACUGAGUUCUUGAAAAGAGGAGAUGCUUGAUGAGGGCAUGGAUCCCUGAGGUCUGCCCCAGUACUAUAAGACAAUUUGAUGUAAGAAAACACAGCAGAUAUAAUACUGAGUGAAGAAGAGUAUAAAUGAGAAGAUUGGUUGUGCAGAUACUGAGUUCAUGAAAAGAGGAGAUGAUUGAUGAGGCCAGGUGCGGUGACUCAUGCCUGUAAUCCCUGCACUUUGGGAGGCUGCGGCGGGCGGAUCACCUGAGGUCAGGAGUUCGAGACCAGCCUGGGAGACAGAGCAUGGAAACCUAAGGUCUGUACCCAAAACUACAGGACUAUUUGACAUCAUAAUAAAACACUGCAGAUAUGAUGCUGAGUAAGAGUAGAAAUGGGAAGACUUGGUUGUGCAGUAACUGAGUUCUUGAAAAGAGGAGAUGCUUGAUGAGGGCAUGGAUCACUAAGGUCUGUUCCCAAUACAAGAAGACUCUUUGACAUCAUAAUAAAAUACUGCAGAUACGAUGCUGAGUGAAAAAGAGUAGAAAUGGGAAGACUUGGUUGUGCAGAAACUGAGUUCUUAAAGAGAGGAGAUACUUUAUGAGGGCAUGGAAAGCUAAGGUCUUUCCAGAAUACUACAAGAGUACUUGAUAUCAUAAUAAAACACUAUAGAUAUGAUGCUGAGUGAGUAAGAGUAGAAAUGGGAAGACUUGGUUGUGCAGAAACUAAGUUAUUAAAAGGAGGAGAUGCUUGAUGAGGGCAUGGAUCCUUAAGGUCUGUUCCCAAUACAACAAGACUAUUUGUUAUCAUAAUAAAACACUGCUGAUAGGAUGCUGAAUGAAAAAGAGUAGAAGUGGGGAGAUUUGGUUGUGCAGAAACUGAGUUCUUAAAAAGAG